rnacentral:rRNA from 1 species
UAACGGCGAGUGACCGGGAAGAGCUCAAUUUGAAAUCUGGCGUGCUCAGUGCGUCCGAGUUGUAAUCUAUAGAGUCGUUUUCCGUGCCGGACUGUGUCCAAGUCCCUUGGAACAGGGUAUCAAAGAGGGUGAUAAUCCCGUACUUGACACAAUGACCGGUGCUCUGUGAUACGUCUUCUACGAGUCGAGUUGUUUGGGAAUGCAGCUCAAAAUGGGUGGUGAGUUCCAUCUAAAGCUAAAUAUUGGCGAGAGACCGAUAGCGAACAAGUACCGUGAGGGAAAGAUGAAAAGCACUUUGGAAAGAGAGUUAAACAGUACGUGAAAUUGUUAAAAGGGAAACGAUUGAAGUCAGUCGUGACUGAGAGGCUCAGCCGGUUCUGCCGGUGUAUUCCCCUCAGUCGGGUCAACAUCAGUUUUGUUCGGUGGAUAAGGGCAGUUGGAAGGUGGCACCCUCGGGUGUGUUAUAGCCAGCUGUCGCAUACAUCGGAUGAGACUGAGGAAUGCAGCUCGCCUUUAUGGCCGGGGUCGCCCACGUCGAGCU